GGCGUGCCUAACAAUGCAAGUCGAACGAGAAAGUGGAGCAAUCCAUGAGUAAAGUGGCGACCGGGUGAGUAACACGUGACUAACCUACCUCCGAGUGGGGAAUAACUCCGGGAAACCGGGGCUAAUACCGCAUAACAUCGCAAGAUCAAAGCAGCAAUGCGCUUGGAGAGGGGGUCGCGGCUGAUUAGCUAGUUGGCGGGGUAACGGCCCACCAAGGCGAAGAUCGGUAUCCGGCCUGAGAGGGCGCACGGACACACUGGAACUGAAACACGGUCCAGACUCCUACGGGAGGCAGCAGUGGGGAAUUUUGCGCAAUGGGGGAAACCCUGACGCAGCAACGCCGCGUGGAGGAUGAAGCCCUUUGGGGCGUAAACUCCUUUCGACUCGGACGAUAAUGACGGUACGAGUGGAAGAAGCACCGGCUAACUCUGUGCCAGCAGCCGCGGUAAUACAGAGGGUGCGAGCGUUGUUCGGAAUUAUUGGGCGUAAAGGGCGCGUANGCGGUGCGGUAAGUCACCUGUGAAAUC
rnacentral:rRNA from 1 species